UGGGGAAUCUUGCGCAAUGGGCGAAAGCCUGACGCAGCAACGCCGCGUGGAGGAUGACUGCCUUCGGGUUGUAAACUCCUUUCAGCAGGGACGAAAUUGACGGUACCUGCAGAAGAAGCCCCGGCCAACUACGUGCCAGCAGCCGCGGUAAUACGUAGGGGGCGAGCGUUGUCCGGAAUUAUUGGGCGUAAAGAGCUCGUAGGCGGCUCGAUAAGUCGGGUGUGAAAUCUCUAGGCUCAACCUAGAGCGGCCACUCGAUACUGUCGUGGCUAGAGUCCGGUAGGGGACCACGGAAUUCCUGGUGUAGCGGUGAAAUGCGCAGAUAUCAGGAGGAACACCGGUGGCGAAGGCGGUGGUCUGGGCCGGAACUGACGCUGAGGAGCGAAAGCGUGGGGAGCAAACAGG
rnacentral:rRNA from 1 species